AGAGUUUGAUCCUGGCUCAGGAUGAACGCUGGCGGCGUGCCUAAUACAUGCAAGUCGAGCGAACGGACGAGAAGCUUGCUUCUCUGAUGUUAGCGGCGGACGGGUGAGUAACACGUGGAUAACCUACCUAUAAGACUGGGAUAACUUCGGGAAACCGGAGCUAAUACCGGAUAAUAUUUUGAACCGCAUGGUUCAAAAGUGAAAGACGGUCUUGCUGUCACUUAUAGAUGGAUCCGCGCUGCAUUAGCUAGUUGGUAAGGUAACGGCUUACCAAGGCAACGAUGCAUAGCCGACCUGAGAGGGUGAUCGGCCACACUGGAACUGAGAUACGGUCCAGACUCCUACGGGAGGCAGCAGUAGGGAAUCUUCCGCAAUGGGCGAAAGCCUGACGGAGCAACGCCGCGUGAGUGAUGAAGGUCUUCGGAUCGUAAAACUCUGUUAUUAGGGAAGAACAUAUGUGUAAGUAACUGUGCACAUCUUGACGGUACCUAAUCAGAAAGCCACGGCUAACUACGUGCCAGCAGCCGCGGUAAUACGUAGGUGGCAAGCGUUAUCCGGAAUUAUUGGGCGUAAAGCGCGCGUAGGCGGUUUUUUAAGUCUGAUGUGAAAGCCCACGGCUCAACCGUGGAGGGUCAUUGGAAACUGGAAAACUUGAGUGCAGAAGAGGAAAGUGGAAUUCCAUGUGUAGCGGUGAAAUGCGCAGAGAUAUGGAGGAACACCAGUGGCGAAGGCGACUUUCUGGUCUGUAACUGACGCUGAUGUGCGAAAGCGUGGGGAUCAAACAGGAUUAGAUACCCUGGUAGUCCACGCCGUAAACGAUGAGUGCUAAGUGUUAGGGGGUUUCCGCCCCUUAGUGCUGCAGCUAACGCAUUAAGCACUCCGCCUGGGGAGUACGACCGCAAGGUUGAAACUCAAAGGAAUUGACGGGGACCCGCACAAGCGGUGGAGCAUGUGGUUUAAUUCGAAGCAACGCGAAGAACCUUACCAAAUCUUGACAUCCUUUGACAACUCUAGAGAUAGAGCCUUCCUCUUCGGGGGACAAAGUGACAGGUGGUGCAUGGUUGUCGUCAGCUCGUGUCGUGAGAUGUUGGGUUAAGUCCCGCAACGAGCGCAACCCUUAAGCUUAGUUGCCAUCAUUAAGUUGGGCACUCUAAGUUGACUGCCGGUGACAAACCGGAGGAAGGUGGGGAUGACGUCAAAUCAUCAUGCCCCUUAUGAUUUGGGCUACACACGUGCUACAAUGGACAAUACAAAGGGCAGCGAAACCGCGAGGUCAAGCAAAUCCCAUAAAGUUGUUCUCAGUUCGGAUUGUAGUCUGCAACUCGACUACAUGAAGCUGGAAUCGCUAGUAAUCGUAGAUCAGCAUGCUACGGUGAAUACGUUCCCGGGUCUUGUACACACCGCCCGUCACACCACGAGAGUUUGUAACACCCGAAGCCGGUGGAGUAACCUUUUAGGAGCUAGCCGUCGAAGGUGGGACAAAUGAUUGGGGUGAAGUCGUAACAAGGUAGCCGUAUCGGAAGGUGCGGCUGGAUCACCU
rnacentral:rRNA from 1 species